AUGUUAUUUUAUCUUACUUGGCAUAAUAGUGGCGGUGGUUCUGAAGCCUACCCAAACAUGAAUCAGUAUGGUAAUUCUAACAAGUGGUGCUCUAAUAUUCACUUAUUCAGUUGUGUUCUGGAAUGGCCUCUUUCUGCUUCCUAUUGUAAGCUUUCGUUUGUUUCGAUUUUCUACUGUUUUCUUCCUUUUGUAUUUUUUCUCUUUCUUUGGUGCUGGCGGCCAAAUCCAGAGGCUAAUUUGUUUCCUUUCAAGGAGGAAGUAAUAUAUGAGUUUUCUUUUCACUUCUUUGCUAUUGCUUAA
rnacentral:rRNA from 1 species